ensembl:lncRNA
GGCAAUAGUAGUAGGCAGUAUCUGAUUCUGCCAGAGAGGAUGAAUUGGAGAUAAUAAGACAAAAACUGGGGUCUGAUGUUUCAGGAAGAUGGUUAGAAAAACUGAGCAGGUAAAGAAUGCAGAGACUUGAAGGAAGCCCUUAGCACAGGCAACAGAGAGGAGGGAACCAAGUCUAAACAGACGUAGGAGAUGAAAACCACAGGUCUUGGCAGCCGACUGGAUGGAGGCACAGAUGAGGAUGAAGGCCUGAAGCCUGGGUCUGGCUUGGGGGACAGUUGUUCCCGCUGACUAAUGGGAAACCGCACAGACACAGUCACAGCUGCAGAGAAUGCAGUACUUAGGAAACCUCUGUGUUCUGGCCACAAACCACAGUGCUGACCAAAAUUCUCACCUCCAUCCAGGACUAGCUACAUAAUUUCCGGGACUCACUGCCAACUCAGACGACUGCAGCGUGUCAGGGUACAUUCUCCAGGACGACUAGAAAAGCCCCUGGAAGUGCUUAGAACAGAUCAGCUCGUUGUUGAUAAAUGUCUGAAAAAUUCCAGAAUGAAUGAAAGAAAGAAAGGAAGAAAGAAGGAAGAGAAGAAAGAAAGAGGAAGGAAGGAAGCAAGGGGAAGCUUGAUUAAAUGAAUGGAUAAAUACAUGAACAAAUGGUAUUUAAAGGAGAAGUUGCUAUUAGAGCUAUUGGAAGAGAGCAACACAUUUCCCAUUCAGUGUUCUCUGUUAGACAAUCAGUAGACUCAGCCCUGGGCACUGGAUGGAGAGGAAACUCAAACGUUUGUAGCUGGAGCCAAAUGCAGCCGGUAGUAAAAAAAAACAGUUAGCACUAAACCAGAGCUGGGCAGAUACUUGAAACAGAGCUUCCAAUUCAAAGAGCAUAAACCUGAAGUUGGAAUCCAAGUGAAACUCAAAGGAAGGAAGGAAGAAAUGUAGAGCAAAGGAAAGAGACGGAGGAACCAAGAGAAAUCCCAAAGGAGAGGGAGCAUCAUGACCAGCAUCCUUUAUGUGCUCGUGAUGUCGGACACGGCCGCAGCGACUUAGCGCACAGCACCACGUCCUCGGCAUCCGCAGCGACUCAGAGUCGGACCCUGGAAGAGGCCGCCCGAGCUCCUGCGUUCUUUCUACUGCCCACCAG